CAGUGACAGAGGCAGUGACAGGCAGUGACAGGCUGUGACAGGCGGUGACAGGCGCAGGGACAGCCGCGGGCGGUGGUCGCAGCCCCCUUCCCGCCCCUGGCAGUACGCGCAGGCGCUGACAGGCGGUGACAGAGGCAGUGACAGGUGGUGACAGAGGCAGUGACAGGCAGUGACAGGCGCAGGGACAGCCACGGGCGGUGGUCGCAGCCCCCUCCCCACCCCCGGCAGUACGCGCAGGCGGUGACAGGCAGUGACAGGCAGUGACAGGCGGUGACAGGGACAGUGACAGGUGGUGACAGGCGGUGACAGGCACAGGGACAGCCACGGGCGGUGGUCACAGCCCCCUCCCCACCCCUGGCAGUACGC